ensembl:lncRNA
UUUUUUUUUAUGAAAACUUUUUCUAAAAAUUAUAAUUCAAUCUUUUUUCUUUUUUUAUACUGCAAUGUUUCUUUUUUAUAUAUGCUAUGGAAAAAAAAAAAGAAAAAAAAAAAAAUGCUAAAGAAAAAAUUGUUUUAUAAUUUUUAAAAAAUUUUCUUCCUUCGUGAAUAAUUUGUUGCUUGGUUGACACAAUGCUUUAGUUCAUACAAAUAUGUACACAUAAAUAUAUAUAUUUAUAUAUAUGUAUAUUACACAAGGUGAUGUCAAUUAUACAUAUACGCAUAUAAAUAAAAACUAAUAAAUAAAUAAAAUUAGAAGUUAGGGAAGAAAGAGAUAAACACUGUAUGAUUUUACUUUUUUUUUUUUUUGGAGAUUUUUGCUUAAAUUGGUACCUUUUCAUUAUGUUGACUUUUUUCAAUAAAAUUAAUAAAAAUAUAAAAAAGUAAAAUAAAGUUAAUAAAAACAAAACGAAGGCAUUAAAACGAAGGCAUUAAAACAGGAGCAUUAAAACAGAAGCAUUAAAACAGAAGCAUUAAAACGAAAGCAACAAAAGGAUGAUGUAAUCCGCCUUACAAAUAAACUUUUACCAAGUUGGAACGAAAAAGAGUCAAAACAAUUACCUUUUGUAUACAUAUAUAAAAAUAUAGAUAUGUAAACAUUAUAUAUAUAUACAUAUGUUUUUUUUUUUUUUUUUUUUGAUUUUUUUUAUAACUUAAUAAUUUUAAAGCUUUUGUGACGAAAAAGACGCAAUAACAAGAGCUAGCAAUCAUAACUCACGAACAAAGCCUAUCACACCACACAAACAAAAUGGAAAAAAUGAAUAGCGAUAACAUUAUGGAUGUUAUGAACGACUCUAUAACAUACGUAAUAGAAGCUAGUAAAAGCAAACCCCUUGCUUCAAUAAAAAUCGAAAUAGAAGCAAUGAAAAAUAUUAUACAUAAUGAUAUCAUAAAAAUAUUAAAUAAAAAUUUUUAUGAAUUUAUGUCUUUACCAUCUAACCUUAAUCAUAUAGAAAGUAUGAUACCUAUUUUAGAAAAAGAAAUAAUUAACUCCAAAGAUCAUAUAAAAAAUUGGCUACAUGAAAUACAAAUAAUAAACAAUAAUAUACAUAACAUUAUAAUAGAUAAAAUUAAUAUAUUUUAUAUAAAAAAUAUAUUAACAAAUCAUAUAGAAAUAUACCAAUUAAUUAAUAAAAUACAAAAAGAAAUAAGUAUUUAUGAAAAAUUAGAAUAUCAUAAUUUUAUAGUACAUAUACAAAAAACAGUUAGCUCUUUUGAUGGUAAACUCAGUGAUGAUAAUGAAAAGCUUUUAAAAAAAUGUAUAUACAGUCAUAAGGACAUGUAUGCUACUGAUAAACAUAGUAACAUAUAUACGGAAAGUUGUAACGAAAAACAUGAUUUUUAUCUUUUUUAUCAUCUAAGUGAAAGAAUUUUUAGCAUAUCAAAAGAAAUUUGGAAAACGAAAGCUAUGUUAUAUAAUACUUAUAAAAAAAUAUGUAAAAUAUCACCAACAUUAGAUCAUUUUAAUAAUAUUAUCAUAAAAUAUGGUAUAGCAUCAAAUUGUAGCAACCAAAUUAUAGACAUAACUAAUAAAUAUUCUUUUGAAUAUUUAAAUAAUUGUCUAAUAAAUGUUGUUAAUAAAAUGAAACAUAUUUUUUAUUAUCUAUUAUAUGUUUAUCUUCAAAUCAUUAAAAUUGCCCCUAUUCAAGAUAUAACAAAUAAUUAUAUAUUAAAUCAAACUACUUUGUAUAUUCUCAAUUCUUGUUACUUGCUUAACAAUUUUGAUGUGUUUAUUCAACAGUUCAAUGACGUCUUUUUUAAGCCCAUGGAACACGAACCGACGAAGCCAUACGAUGACUUCUUGGCUUAUAUAAAAGCAGAAAUAAUUGAAAACAAAAAGUUAGUAGACAUAACCCAAAAAAUAGAACAGAUAGAUGAAUAUGUUUUGUUUUACACCAAAGGAAUAAUAACAAGUGCAUUAUGUAUGAUAAAAGAAAAAUAUUGUGAUAUAUUUGUGAUAAAAUAUUAUGACUUAUUUAUUGAAAAUUAUAUUAAGACAGUUGAUUUUUUAAAUAAUGUAAAAAAAAAUAAAAAACCAUAUGAACAGUUCAUGCUUAAUAAAGUUAUUAAUAAAUUUUUAAGUACUUUUCAAACUGAUUUAUAUGUCAAAUAUAUAUUAAAUGUUAUAGAUACAAAAAUAAAUGAGAAAAAUCA